rnacentral:lncRNA from 1 species
GGCAUUCCAUUCGUUCCUAUAAACAUUAUGAUGGUUUGGAUAAAGUUUUGCGAGGAUGUCUAAAAAAAACUAGGGCAUCAUGCGGCGCGCUCUGAUCGGCAAUCAGCUCACAUCAGAUCAGGAUCUCACAUAAAAAAAAAAAGAUUAGGGUCUCGGCUACUGCCGCACAACCGCUCCCUGCCAUGGUCAUCCUCGGUGGCGGCGGCAGGAUGAUGGUUAGCGGUGCCCGCAUCCGGCACUCCGGCAAGCAACUGGCAAGUCCUACGCCCAGCCACGACGUGUACAUAUAGCCCCAACGGCGGCAACACCCAUCAUGUGGUUAUCUUUUUGUUCUCUCUUGAUUUCCCCUUAUUAUCAAUUUGAGAACAGAUGGUAUAACCUGUGUUUCUUGAUUAUAAUUGAUUUUAUCCAACAAUCCAUCUUGGGUGUAUAUCAUUAAUAAUUCAAUUGAAUAUGAAUAACAAUUUGUGUAUUAGUAGACGUCGACAGAAUAGAUGCAAGAGAAACAAGGUGAAUUUAUGCAUUUUAAUCAUCAUUUAUUGUUUCCAAAAUCAUGAUCGUAUUGUUAAAAUGUUAUUCUAUCAUUGCUCUCUGAACGUAAUAAAUUAUGUGAGGGAUUGUUUGUUACAGUCUUAUUACUGUUAUUAUUGUGUGACUUUUGUAUAUUAUAUAUUGUUGUGUCCCAAAAAAAAAAUCGACAUUGUAUACCCAUAUCAGAAUUCCUGGCUCCGCCCCUGCAUCCACGUGCUUCUUCAUGUCCUUCCUAGAUGACAAUCAGAUAUUCAUGUUGGUUACGUCGCGUUUUCGUGAUCUCCCAUCUUCUUUGGAGAUGGAUGAGUACCAUUUGCCAAUUCCAUACGCUUGCAACACUGUUACCAUUGGAAUAUCUUCCACUCCUUUUGGCUAAUAUCUUCCCUUUUGUUGAUAUCUUAAUUAAUCGCAUUAUGAGGCCAUGAUCUGAUCUGAUGAUUGACCCCUUCCCUUUUGGUCCUUUAUUGAAUCUUUGCAGGGACGCCACUGAUCUUUGUGUAUACUUUGCAAACUUUGAACCUCUGAGAGUGACUUCAUACCUUCACAUUUUGGGAUCCCUUUCUGUGCAGUGUGUAGCUAGGAUCAUUGUGGAACAACUUUGAUGAGAGUGAACGUAUGUAUGUCUUGAUUAAGACUGAUGAUUGACCGACGUACCUUGGUAAAUACUCGUACAUGCAAUUCCAUCAUUUAUGCUUGUAUUGUGAUUUGUUGCUCCGGUGCAUUUUCUUUCUGUAUAUGUAUG